UACGUAGGGUGCAAGCGUUAAUCGGAAUGACUGGGCGUAAAGGGUGCGUAGGUGGUUGCUUAAGUUAGAUGUGAAAUCCCCGGGCUUAACCUGGGAACUGCAUUUAAUACUGAGCGACUAGAGUGUGGGAGAGGUAAGUGGAAUUUCCGGUGUAGCGGUGAAAUGCAUAGAUAUGUCACAGAACACCAAUUGCGAAGGCAGCUUACUAUGGUUUGAUUGACACUGAGGCACGAAAGCGUGGGGAUCAAACAGG
rnacentral:rRNA from 1 species